CGGCGCGUAGCAAAACUGGAUUGCACCUGGUUUACACCCAGCUUGACGAGGGUUCGAAUCCCUCCGCGCCGACCA
rnacentral:tRNA from 1 species